rnacentral:rRNA from 1 species
AACGAACGCUGGCGGCGUGGAUAAGACAUGCAAGUCGAACGGGAUAACAUCUGUAGCAAUACAGGUGUUAUUUAGUGGCGAACGGGUGCGUAACACGUGGGGAAUCUGCCGAGAAGUGGGGGAUAGCUCGCCGAAAGGCGAAUUAAUACCGCAUAUGGUCAGUGAAGACAUACUUCACAACACCAAAGCCGGGGCAACCUGGCGCUUUUUGAUGACCCCGCGGCCUAUCAGCAGUUGGUGAGGUAACGGCCCACCAAGGCUAUGACGGGUAGCUGGUCUGAGAGGACGACCAGUCACACUGGAACUGAGAC